GCAACUUCCUAUCUGCCUGAAGGAGGGCAUCAGGGUCACAGGUGACAUGGUUCAUCCCUCCCCUUUCUGAUGUCUUCCCUUACUGCCUCCCUCCUUGCUGUGCCUCAGACAAGAUCCAGCAGUUGAGGGAGCACUGGCUUCAUGGUUGAGUCAUCAUUUUGCUAAAUUAUGUAAUAAAUUCAUAAAUACUAACAGUGGAAAAACUAAACAGUGGAGGGAAAAUCCACUGUUUAUCUUCAUCUCCCAGUCUCCCAGUAUUUCACCAGUGGUAUCAAUUAUGAAAUGUCAGACUCAUAGGGAAUGGGAGACAGAGCUGGUCAAUGAUCUGACCAAGCAUCUGAUGAUGAUAAUGUUUUUAUUAUAUAAGGAGACACUUAAAACUGUAUAAAUAGACAUUUUAUUGUUUUCCUCUAAAUGUGUUUAACUCUAAAAAUGUUUUAGUGCAAAAUGUGUUAGCAGUUAGCAAUUGUUUGUUAUACUAGUGAUCCAACAUCUGUUAACAAUGAGGUUCUGGCAUACCAUCUGUAUUAGUCCAUUCUCAUGCUGCUAUAAAGAACUGCCUGAGACUGGGUAAUUUACAAAGAAAGGAGGUUUAAUUGACUCACAGUUCUGUGGGGCUGGGGACACCUAGAAAAUUUACAAGUAUGGUAGAAGGGGAAGCAAACACAUCCUUCUUCACAUGCUGGCAAGAGAGAGAAUGAGAACCAAGUGAAGCGGGGAGUCCCUUAUAAAACCAUCAAAUCUUGUGAAAACUUACUCAUUAUCAUGAGAAUAGCAUGAGGGUAAUCACCCCCAUGAUUCAAUUAUCUCCCACUGGGUCCCACCCAUGACACUUGGGGAUUAUGGAAACUACAAUUCAAGAUGAGAUUUGGGUGGGGACACAGCCAAACCAUAUCACCAUCCCACAUGAGUAAUUCUGAAGAAAAGGAAGCCAGAGUAGCAGGGUAGCAGUCACCCCAAAAUAACCCUGAGACUACAGCUUUGGGCAGAGCAACCCCUAGGCAAAAGCUAUGAAGUGAGCAGAGCUGUUUAUCCAUUAACUCAUCUGUUCUAUACCCAUCUAUACUGGCUGUGAUAUUCCAACAUUAUGCACAAGGAUAAACAAGAUUUACUUCCUGCCCAAAGAAAUUUACACAUUUUAGCUUCCUUCCUAAAGUCAGCUUCCUGAAUUUUCUACACUUACACACCCAUAAGGCCAGUAUCCUACUGUUCUUUGGCCUCUUGAUUUCCUCCUCUUAUCAAAAACUCUUCUUAAUUAGCUACAAGUUGGGAGUAAACCAAUAGUUAAUUCAUACUAAGGUGUAAAAGACUAUAUGGCUGAACACAUUGUAUUCUACUAUCUUUCUCAGACGUGUUUGCAUUUUUAGAGAAAGGAAGCCUUAAAUUUGAAGCUGUGAAACUAAUGGUGGAACUCCAGGUAUUAGUAAAGCAA
rnacentral:lncRNA from 10 species